rnacentral:rRNA from 1 species
AGCGAACGCUAGCGGCGGGCCUAACACAUGCAAGUCGAGCGGAAUCCUUCGGGGUCAGCGGCGGACGGGUGAGUAACACGUAGGUAAUGUACCUUCUGGUGGGGAAUAACCUUGGGAAACCAGGGCUAAUACCGCAUAUCGCGCUUCGGCGUGAAAGCCUUCGGGCGCCAGUUGAGCAGCCUGCGUCCCAUUAUUUAGUCCUAGUUGGUAGGGUAAUGGCCUACCAAGGGUACGAUGGGUAGCUGGCUGAGAGGAUGAUCAGCCACACUGGAACUGAGACACGGUCCAGACUCCUACGGGAGGCAGCAGUGGGGAAUAUUGCGCAAUGGGCGAAAGCCUGACGCAGCCACGCCGCGUGAGUGAUGAAGGCCUUCGGUU